rnacentral:lncRNA from 1 species
AGUGGAGAGCUUGGAAAUCCGGGAAACCACGUCAUGCUGAGUGAGGGGCUGUUGUGAUGGGGAGAAGCAGACGGUGAGGUGUUGGAGCCAGUGUGGUGGGUCCGCCCCGGAUCUGAGUGGAAACCUGCAGCCAGAUUCCCUGUCCUCUUUGGAGCCUAUCCUGGCACUCGCUCUGGAGACCAGGCUGGCCUGGAACCUACAGAGAUCCGCCUGCCUCUGCCUCCCGAGUGCUUGGAUUAAAGGAAAAGUGGGCUUUGCUGGAUCCUUCCCAGAAGACUCUCCAUAAAGAUGUGAUAUUGGAGACUACAGGAUCCUUACUGCUAUAGAUUUCCUCCAGAUGUCGUUUGUUUUCCAUGCUGGCUUGGAUGUCAGUAAUUA